CCCUGAGGUCUAGGAAAGAAGAGAGUCGUGCUGCAGUAUCAUACAGUGCACAGCUGCAUCUCUGCCACGCAUGUCUUAGUCCACCAGUUUCAGUAAUCGAUGGCCAUGUAGGAGAGAACCCACGUCAUUCCACGUGUCUCAGGGGCAGAGCUGGCUCAGUGGACUCCUGCCCAUGGCUGCCAGCCGUGCCCCGUACCAGUGCACUCAGGAGCCGUGUUCAUGCAGAGGUGAGAGUUCAGGGGAUACUCAGCCCAUCCGUUUGUCUCAACAGGCAACGUGUCCAGCUCCAUGGAAGGUACAGCAACUGCUGGUGAGGCUUUCCCCUUUAUUCCUGCUGUCCCCAUCCAUUCCAAUCUUCCCCUUCACUCUCCUUUGUCCCCAUCCUGUCAUUACAUCCCCAACACACCCCAAUGUCCACAUCACCCCCCUCGGACUCCUCCACACUCCAUCAACCCCAAGCUCUCUGUCCCCAUCCCUGCACUCUGUCCCCAGACCCCAACAACCAGCAGGCCUCCACAGUCACUGCAGUGGUAUUGGUGACUGUCACCCUCCUCCUUUCUGCAGCAACCUUCUGGACCAUCAAGAAAGGUGCCUGCAGGGAGAGAUGCCAAAGGCAGCAGCACGUUCCCAGCCAGCAGAUGGAAAACA